UCUCUGUGGAUGGAUGUGGGCAG
rnacentral:miRNA from 1 species